rnacentral:rRNA from 1 species
GAUGAACGCCAGCGGCAGGCCUAAUACAUGCAAGUCGAACGGGAUCCAGAUCAAAGCUUGCUUUGGUCUGGUGAGAGUGGCGCACGGGUGCGUAACGCGUGAGCAACCUACCCUUGUCAGGGGGAUAGCCCGGCGAAAGUCGGAUUAAUACCGCAUGACAUCAUUGAGAGGCAUCUUUCGAUGAUCAAAGAUUUAUCGGACAAGGAUGGGCUCGCGUGACAUUAGCUAGUUGGUAAGGUAACGGCUUACCAAGGCUGCGAUGUCUAGGGGCUCUGAGAGGAGAAUCCCCCACACUGGUACUGAGACACGGACCAGACUCCUACGGGAGGCAGCAGUAAGGAAUAUUGGUCAAUGGACGGAAGUCUGAACCAGCCAUGCCGCGUGCAGGAAGACGGCCCUAUGGGUUGUAAACUGCUUUUAUACGGGAACAAACGUCGGUACGUGUACCGGUCUGAGUGUACCGUAAGAAUAAGGAUCGGCUAACUCCGUG